GGCAGUAUACCUAUAUGGACUUGUUGAUAUUCCGGUAUGUGGGUUAUUAUUCAAUUCUUCAAGCUCCACAGUUGAUCUGUAGCUAGUUGUAAAGAAUCUCAUUAUCUCUAAGCCAAAUAAUCCAGCUGGGACGUUGGAAGGGCAGAAGGUACUUUAAAAGUAUAUUUUGGAUUAACAAGAACCCUACGCCUAUAAUAGAGAAAACUGAAAGGAGUGAUCAGUUUAAGAAAACCCCAAAGCUCUGCAUUUGGGUGGGCUGUGGUAGCACUGCCUCAGCCAAGAAGGGGCAGCUUUGUAAUUCUUCAACUCGGAUGAGAUACCUUUAUAUAAGAGCAAUUUGCUCUCCUGCAACCCUCCCCAGGGCUGGUUUUUCUCAUAUGCACACAGGGUAUGACACAGUUAGCAGUGGUCUUGUCUCAGCCUUUCAAAGUUCACAGGGGUGGAUGGAAUUAAAUUCCCUCCAGUCAAAUCUGGCAAGACAGCUUCAAACCGCGGGUCCCUCUGGGGCUUACUUGAGGGAAGUGCAUCACAAAGUCACACCUCAAAAUUCAAGACGGAGAAGGUUGACUGUGCCGCUUCAGCCUCUUAGGGCUGGGAGGAGCCCUCUGACUUUGCUCACCAGCUUGUCUGAAGCAUCGAAGUAUCUAUAACUAAAGGACAGAGUUUGUGCUUCAUUGAAGAGAGACCACUUCAGAACCUUCAUAGCAGAAAGCCAGCACCAGGCACCUCAAACUUCUUAGCUCCCAGGAAUAGACUCCUGGGGACAGAUGUCAAUGGCUUUGCAUGGACAAUGCUCCAGGGUACUGCUCAGGAUUUCCAGAACUCUGUUUAUUUGAGAAAUGGACAAUUUCAUGAGACCACUAGCCCAAGACCUAGUGGAGUAAGAAUUGCUAACAUAAAUGAAGUAACUGAUAAACUGUACUGUGUUUACUGUGGAUGUUGUUUUAAUGUUUGAUUUUUUUGAGAUAUAAGGAAGCCCUUUUUCCUUUUAAGCUGUCUAUAACUGUUAACUAGUACAUUCUUUAGUCAAUUGAAAUGAAUCAUUUAAAAAUGA